rnacentral:rRNA from 1 species
AACGAACGCUGGCGGCAUGCCUAACACAUGCAAGUCGAACGAAGGCUUCGGCCUUAGUGGCGCACGGGUGCGUAACGCGUGGGAAUCUGCCCUUUGGUUCGGAAUAACAGCUGGAAACGGCUGCUCAUACCGGAUGAUGACGAAAGUCCAAAGAUUUAUCGCGAGAGGAUGAGCCCGCGUUGGAUUAGGGAGUUGGUGGGGUAAAGGCCUACCAAGCCGACGAUCCAUAGCUGGUCUGUGAGGAUGAUCCGCCACACUGGGACUGAGGCACGGCCCAGACUCCGACGGAAGAGAGCAGUGGGGAAUAUUAGACGCGGGACGCUAGCCUGAUCCAGCAAUGUCGGGUAAGAGAGGAAGGCCGUAGGAUUGUAAAGCUCUUUUACCCGAGGAGAGAAUGACGGUAACGGGAAAAGAAGCCCCGGCUAACUCCGUG